GACGAACGCUGGCGGCGUGCUUAACACAUGCAAGUCGAACGGAAAGGCCUGCUUUCCCUUGUGGAUUGCGGGUACUCGAGUGGCGAACGGGUGAGUAACACGUGAGUGAUCUGCCCCCAACUUGGGUAUAAGCCUGGGAAACUGGGUCUAAUUCCCGAUAGGACUGCAGGGUGGUGCCUGUGGUGGAAAACGAUUUUCUAGUGGUUGGGGAUGAGCUCGCGGCCUAUCAGCUUGUUGGUGGGGUAAUGGCCUACCAAGGCGGCGACGGGUAGCCGGCCUGGGGGGGGGGGACGGCAAAAUUGGGGCUGGGUGCCGGCCCGGACCCAGACGGGGGGCAGGGGGGGGGAUUAUUGCACACGGCGGGAAGGCUGGAGGCGGCGACCCGGGGGGGGGGAUGACGGCCUGCGGGUUGUAAACCCUUUUAGACCGGGGGGAAGCACCUGGGUUGGAGGGGUGGGGAGGGUGGGGGAAAAAGAAGCCCGGCCAAACUACGGC
rnacentral:rRNA from 1 species